CUGGCGAACUAGCGACCGGCAGUGCUGUACAGCGCAGCCAAAACACCAAUUUUAAAUUCUUACCAAAGUAACUAAACUAAUUACCACAAAUAUUGAUUAUAAGUAAUAAAAACAAUAUUUUAUUUGCUUGUCUAUCAUAUAUUAUUAAUAAAUAUUUGCAAGGUGACGUCACAAUUGUUCUGCCAUUUGCAUACAACGUUUACCAGCACUAACCAACAUGGCGUCCGGUGUUGUGCUGUGUCGUGUGCUUUUGUAACUAAAACUCCGUUUUGACAUCACUUUCAUCAUAAUCUGAAUAAAAUAAUAAUAAUAAUAA